UACAGAGGUCUCAAGCGUUGUUCGGAUUCAUUGGGCGUAAAGGGUGCGUAGGUGGCGCCAUAAGUCGGGUGUGAAAUCUCGGGGCUUAACUCCGAAACUGCAUUCGAUACUGUGGUGCUCGAGGACUGGAGAGGAGACUGGAAUUCAUGGUGUAGCAGUGAAAUGCGUAGAUAUCGUAAGGAAGACCAGUGGCGAAGGCGGGUCUCUGGACAGUUCCUGACACUGAGACACGAAGGCCAGGGGAGCAAACGGG
rnacentral:rRNA from 1 species